GACGAACGCUGGCGGCGUGCCUAAUACAUGCAAGUCGAGCGAAAAGACGCUGAGCUUGCUGCUCGCACGUGUGCGGCGGACGUGAGUGAAACGCGUGUAUACCCUACCUAUAUUUCUGAGAUCACUUCGGAAAACCGGCUCUAAUCCCAUAUGAGCUCUUGCACCGCAUUGUUCGAUGGUGAGAGUCGGUUUUGCUGUCACUACUAGCUGCAUCUGCGCCGCAUUGGCUGGUUGUGGAGGUAACGGCCUACUACGGCAAGUAUGCGUAGCCGACCUGAGAGGGUGAUAGGCCACACUGGAGCUGGGACACGGACCAGACGCCUACGGGAGGCAGCAGUAGGGAAUCGUCCGCAAUGGGGGAAAGCAUGACGGAGCAACGCGGAGUGAGAGACGAAGGUCUUCGGAUCGUAAAAAUGUGUUAUUAGGGAAGAACAAAUGUGUAAGGAAACAUGCCCGGAUUGACGGUAACUAAUCAGAAAGCAACGGCUAACUACGUG
rnacentral:rRNA from 1 species